rnacentral:rRNA from 1 species
GAAACUCAGGCUAAUACCGCAUGAGCCCUUCGGGGGAAAGCAGGGGAUCUUCGGACCUUGCGCUAUUGGAUGAGCCUAUGUCUGAUUAGCUUGUUGGUGGGGUAACGGCCUACCAAGGCGACGAUCAGUAGCUGGUCUGAGAGGACGAUCAGCCACACUGGGACUGAGACACGGCCCAGAUUCCUACGGGAGGCAGCAGUGGGGAAUAUUGGACAAUGGGCGCAAGCCUGAUCCAGCAAUGCCGCGUGUGUGAAGAAGGCCUGCGGGUUGUAAAGCACUUUCAGUGGGGAGGAAAAGCUCAAGGAUAAUAUCCUUGGGUCUUGACGUUAUCCACAGAAGAAGCACCGGCUAACUCUGUGCCAGCAGCCGCGGUAAUACAGAGGGUGCAAGCGUUAAUCGGAAUUACUGGGCGUAAAGCGCGCGUAGGCGGUUUGUUAAGUCGGAUGUGAAAGCCCCGGGCUCAACCUGGGAACUGCAUUCGAUACUGGCAGGCUAGAGUAUGGUAGAGGGAAGUGGAAUUCCGGGGUGUAGCGGUGAAAUGCGUA